AACGAACGCUGGCGGCAUGCCUAACACAUGCAAGUCGAACGAGACCUUCGGGUCUAGUGGCGAACGGGUGCGUAACGCGUGGGAACCUGCCUUUAGGUUCGGAAUAACUCAGAGAAAUUUGAGCUAAUACCGGAUGAUGUCUUCGGACCAAAGAUUUAUCGCCUUUAGAUGGGCCCGCGUUGGAUUAGCUAGUUGGUGGGGUAAAGGCCUACCAAGGCGACGAUCCAUAGCUGGUCUGAGAGGAUGAUCAGCCACACUGGGACUGAGACACGGCCCAGACUCCUACGGGAGGCAGCAGUGGGGAAUAUUGGACAAUGGGCGAGAGGCUGAUCCAGCAAUGCCGCGUGAGUGAUGAAGGCCUUAGGGUUGUAAAGCUCUUUUACCCGAGAUGAUAAUGACAGUAGCGGGAGAAUAAGCUCCGGCUAACUCCGUG
rnacentral:rRNA from 1 species